GAUCAUGGCUCAGGACGAACGCUGGCGGCGUGCUUAACACAUGCAAGUCGAACGGGGCGCUUAUGAUGGAGAUUUCGGUCAACGGAUUAGGUUGCCUAGUGGCGGACGGGUGAGUAACGCGUGAGUAACCUGCCUUUCAGAGGGGGACAACAGUUGGAAACGACUGCUAAUACCGCAUAAUAUAUAUGGACCGCAUGAUCUGUAUAUCAAAGAUUUAUCGCUGAAAGAUGG
rnacentral:rRNA from 1 species